AUCUUUCAUGUGAAUGUCAUAGCCCUUCUCUAAGAGUUGCCCCAAACUCAAUAUAUUUUUUUUCAUGUUGGGCACAUAGUAGACAUUAGAGAUAAAUUGGUGAUUUCCAUUCUUCAUGCGGAUUAGGAUGUUACCUUUGCCUUUCACUGGUAUUUUGGAUUCAUAACCAAAAGAAACAUUACCACUCACCGAUUCGUCGAGCUCCACGAACAUGCUCCUCUUUCCACA
rnacentral:lncRNA from 1 species